CACCUUGAAAUCAUAACUCGUUAUAGAUAUAUAAUAUCUUCACAAAUAUCGUGAAAUGGCUCUUCAAUAUCUCCAUAAAGGUAUCCUCGCUAUCGCAUUAUCAUGCUUAUAAUUAUAGCAAGAUACAUUUGUGCAUAAAUUACAUUAAGGAAGCGGUACCUCAAGAUCAAGAAUUUUAGAUGCUUCCAGCAACUUAAAUCCUUCAUGGAUUGUCA
rnacentral:lncRNA from 1 species